GACGAACGCUGGCGGCGUGCUUAACACAUCCAAGUCGAACGAAGUGGCGAACGGGUGAGUAACGCGUAAUCAACCUGCCCUUCAGAGGGGGACAACAGUUGGAAACGACUGCUAAUACCGCAUACUGAAGGAGGGGAUUGCGUUUGAUUAGCUAGUUGGGGGGGUAACGGGCCACCAAGGCGAUGAUCAGUAGCCGGUCUGAGAGGGUGGACGGCCACAUUGGGACUGGGACACGGGCCAGACUCCUACGGGGGGGAGCAGUGGGGAAUCUUCCGCAAUGGACGAAAGUCCGACGGGGCAACGCCGCGUUAGGGGUGACGGCCUUCGGGUUGUAAAGCUCUGUUAAUCGGGGCGCGGUACCGGAAUAGAAAGCCACGGCUAACUACGUGCCAGCAGCCGCGGUAAUUC
rnacentral:rRNA from 1 species